UACUGGGCGUAAAGCGCACGCAGGCGGUUUGUUAAGUCAGAUGUGAAAUCCCCGCGCUUAACGUGGGAACUGCAUUUGAAACUGGCAAGCUAGAGUCUUGUAGAGGGGGGUAGAAUUCCAGGUGUAGCGGUGAAAUGCGUAGAGAUCUGGAGGAAUACCGGUGGCGAAGGCGGCCCCCUGGACAAAGACUGACGCUCAGGUGCGAAAGCGUGGGGAGCAAACAGGAUUAGAUACCCUGGUAGUCCACGCUGUAAACGAUGUCGACUUGGAGGUUGUGCCCUUGAGGCGUGGCUUCCGGAGCUAACGCGUUAAGUCGACCGCCUGGGGAGUACGGCCGCAAGGUUAAAACUCAAAUGAAUUGACGGGGGCCCGCACAAGCGGUAAUCGAA
rnacentral:rRNA from 1 species